CUGGCCGUGAAUACUUCACACCCCCUCUUUCUUUCUUUCUUUGAGGAGUAGUCUCUCCGCUCUAUAAUAUGAAAUGGAGAGGUCCAAAUCAUAUAAAUGCAUCUCACGCAUCACUCGGAUCCUCAAUCUGCUUCCUUCCUUCUCCUCCUCCUCACACGGUUUACAGGUUUUGCACAACGUCCCUCGCUCUUCCUAAUUCCUAUACUUUGACAAUUCUAGGCAAUCGUCUCCUCCUAUGGCAAGCUUGCGUUUGAGCGUUAAAGAUGUUACGGAAAUCGUGACCCUCCUGAUUCUUAUUCUUAAACUCAUUGCUGAACUCCGCGAGUGUAUAAGAUAUUUCAGAAGAGGUGGUUGGCAGCAAGACGGCGGUGACGGCACUACCAACAACAAAAUGGAUUAGUGCAGUGGACUCUCUCAAUGAAAUAAUUUGGUGACUGUUGGAGGUGUGAUCUAAAGACUGCAUGUGUUUCCCUAUGGCUUCAUCUUGUGUGUGUAUAUUGUAUGGUUUGUAUUGUGGUUUUGUUGUGUUGAAUAAAAUUUGAUAUGUGAGAUUGGCAACCCUGCUUCUUGUUUUGUAACAUGUUGACUUGAAAAACUUUGUAAUUUUCUGGAGUGUGUGGCUUAAGUCUUAAUAAAAGAAACUUUUUUAUCAUU